AUUGAACGCUGGCGGCAGGCCUAACACAUGCAAGUCGAGCGAGCGGCGGACGGGUGAGUAAUGUAUGGGGACUGCCCGAUAGAGGGGGAAGACUACUGGAAACGGUGGCUAAUACCGCAUACUAUCGGAUAACCCAUAUGGGUUUAGCUAGUAGGUGGGGUAAAGGCUCACCAAGGCGACGAUCUCUAGCUAGUCUGAGAGGCUGAUCAGCCACACUGGGACUGAGACACGGCCCAGACUCCUACGGAGGAAGCAGUUGGGAAUAUUGCACAAUGGGCGCAAGCCUGAUGCAGCCAUGCCGCGUGUAUGAAGAAGGCCUUAGGGUUGUAAAGCACUUUCAGCGGGGAGGCGGUACCCGCAGAAGAAGCACCGGCUAACUCCGUGCCAGCAGCCGCGGUAAUAC
rnacentral:rRNA from 1 species